rnacentral:rRNA from 1 species
UACGUAGGGGGCAAGCGUUGUCCGGAUUUAUUGGGCGUAAAGAGCGUGUAGGCGGUUUUACAGGUCCGCUGUGAAAACUCGAGGCUCAACCUCGAGCUGUCGGCGGAAACCAUCUGGCUAGAGUCCGGAAGAGGAGAAUGGAAUUCCCGGUGUAGCGGUGAAAUGCGCAGAUAUCGGGAAGAACACCCGUGGCGAAGGCGGUUCUCUGGGACGGUACUGACGCUGAGACGCGAAAGCGUGGGGAGCGAACAGG